CAAAAGAUAGCUUAAUUAUAAAGCCGAAGUGUGAUAGACUUCUUAUGGAAUUUCCUCUUUUGU
rnacentral:tRNA from 1 species